rnacentral:sRNA from 1 species
CCUGGCGCUGGCCGCCCCUCCAGCCCCGCGGGCCGCCGCCGAGCGCCGGGUCCCUGCAGCGGCUGCUCGGCUGGGCCCGGCGCUCGCUCUCCCGAGUCUCGGGAGAAGACCAGCACCGAGCAUGCGCGCCGCCGAGCGGGCCCAGGCGCCGGGUGCGGGGCCCGGGGGCCGGGAGGGUAAUCGGUCUCUCCUGGGAACGUGCGCCGGGGCGGGGCGGCUGUUCCAGACACACUCGGCGGCGGCGUCUGAGUCCCGGCAGACAAACCUGAUUCGUGCAGCCCUAGGGGACCCAGGAGCCGUGACUGCAGCUCUGGAAGGCAGAACACGGAUGUGGGGAGAAAAGGACAUUUGGGCUGAUAGGAUAUUUAUUUAACGUGUGCUCUAUGUGGCUCCGUUGUAUAUUUAGGUGAUAGUGGCUAUUUCAUAAAGUCACGUUGUGGGAUCGUGGGAAGCGCUUAGCGCCCAGGGCCAAACGACUUCAGUUCGACUUAUUUCACCUAAGAUCCCUGUGUUAAGAAAAAGAAAAGGCAUCCAAAACCUUUCAGAUAAUGUGCUUUGGUUAAUCGUGUUCUUCAAAUCCUUUCUACUUAAGGGUUUACAGAACCUGGAUCCUGCUAUACAGACAUACUAAUUAGCAUCAAAUAGAGUUCCUCUGACCCUAUGCUUUUUUGAGUUGAAGGGGCAUGAACUCUGGAAACUUUUUCACUAGCCCAAAUUUCAUCCCACUAAAAUUGCUGAACAAAUUGCUCCCAACGGGCUGUAAAAACAGUCAUGCACCCAGCCACCAGCAGUGAGGUAGGGAACAAAAGGACAGAGUAAAGGAUAACUGUGCAGUAAUUUCAGUUCCAGAAUCAGUGGGUGAACACUGUUCUCCCCCAAACACAACACCAUUUUGUCUUCACAAAGAAUGGCAGACCGAAUAAUUAAAGAGAUCGCAGGUUUCUGGAGGGGGGUUGUUUUGUUUUUGUUUUUGUUUUUCUUUUCUUUUUUAAAUCUAAGUAUCCACUGGGUCAAAAAAUAUGUCCUAUGAGGCUGUCGAGGAAAAGGUACCUGCUUCACAAGGCUGACACCCUGAGUUCCACCCUUGGAACCCACGUGAAGGAGAAAAGAACCAGCUCCACAAGCGUCUCUUGACAAAGAUCUGGCAGCGCCGUGGCCUACUGCAUCUAUGCAAAGAAAUGAGCAGGCAGUACGAAGACCGCCCUCUUUCUAAAAGUGUGCCACCCAUUUCCAGUUGGCUGUGCUCCCGAUGUGGCCCUGUUCCUCCUUUGUGUAACCUGUCUCUACAGGCAUCUGCCCUGGGAUCUCCAGGCUAGCAAACAGAAAUGGGAUCCCCAUGAUAUGAAGGGUCCAAGAAUGACACCAGAGAAGUUUCUCAGCCGUACAAGUGGCCAUUUAAAGACCAACAAAAACUGUUGAAUCCAUAUCUCAUACUCAGGCAGAAAUGCCUAAUAGGUCAAAGAUUUACAUGUAUUAAAAGGGGGGAAUGGCCUGGGGGGGGGAUGAUUUUUACAUGUCACAAAAAUCUAGACUGAUAUACUGGUAUUUUUUAAUACCUUUGGGGGAAAACCCACAAGCCAAUCUAAAAGGCAAUAACAAGCUAGAAAAAACACAACUGCAGCAAUUCAGUUUUUGAAUUAAUUUCCCUAUCUAUAGAUGUGACCCUGCAAAUUAGUAGAAUUAAGCCUCAAGGGGAAAAAAUGAGGGAAAAACAGACUGAAAAAGUUAUCUCCUCACAUACAAAAAGGGAAUGUGUAUCUCUUAAAAAUAAAUAGUAAAUUUCAUUCAUAUAAAGAGAAAUACAAACUUAUACUGGUACCAAUUUGCACCUGUUAGAUCAGAAAGCUACUAUGAUAAUGAAGAUAUGAGGAAAGAGGAAUUCACUGUUUCAGCUUCUAAUAAAGGGCAAACUACAUGACAUCUAUCAAAGCUUCAAAGGUACAUAACUAUGGACCUAGCAAAUUCCAGAAAUACGUCCUGGAGACAUACUUGCUUGUGAGUGAGAUCACUAAGGGACAGGGUUAUCCACUGCAACAUUGUUGCAGUCCCCCCCUCCCCCGUUUUAUUUAACGUUAGGAAUAUAGUAUUGUUUUAAUCAAUGAUGGCAAGUCAGUAUAGUCAUACAGUUAUCGAUUUUAAAGAUCUGUUUUUAUUUUGUGUAUAUGAGUGUUUUGCCUAUAAAUAUGCAUGUGUACCAUGCGCUAGCCUGGCGCCCAUAGAGUCUCAAAAGAACUCUGAAUUCCCUGGAACUGGAGGUAAGGAUUGUUGUGAACCACUAUGUUGGUGCUGGGAACCAAACCUGCGCCCUCUGCGGAGCCGUAAGCACUCUAACCUCAACUGCUGGGCAGUUCCUCUAGCCUCCCGAGUCCUUUCGUUUUGCUUAGUAAUGAGACAAACGAAAAGCAGGCUUCUGUAAAACAUUCUUCAAGAUGCGUCUCAAAAAACACUGUACUAUGUAGACUGAAA